UGUGUAGGCGGUUGUUUAAGUUUGGUGUGAAAUCUCCCGGCUCAACUGGGAGGGUGCGCCGAAUACUGAAUGACUUGGAGUGCGGGAGAGGAAAGUGGAAUUCCUGGUGUAGCGGUGAAAUGCGUAGAUAUCAGGAGGAACAACGGUGGUGUAGACGGCUUUCUGGACCGUAACUGACGCUGAGACACGAAAGCGUGGGUAGCAAACA
rnacentral:rRNA from 1 species